rnacentral:rRNA from 1 species
UACGGAGGGUGCGAGCGUUUGUCCGGAAUCACUGGGCGUAAAGAGCGCGUAGGCGGUCCGGUAAGUCCGCUCUGAAAGUCCGGGGGCUCAACCCCGGGAGGCGGGCGGAUACUGUCGGGCUAGAGUCCGGAAGAGGCGAGGUGGAAUUCCUGGGUGUAGCGGUGAAAAUGCGCAGAUAUCAGGAGGAACACCAUGGCGAAGGCAGCUCGCUGGGACGGUACUGACGCUGGAGGCGCGAAAGCGUGGGGAGCAAACAGG